UACGUAGGGGGCAAGCGUUGUCCGGAUUUAUUGGGCGUAAAGCGCUCGCAGGCGGUUCGAUGCGUCGUGCGUGAAAGCCCCCGGCUCAACUGGGGAGGGUCGUGCGAUACGGUCGAACUGGAGGCCAGUAGGGGGAUGCGGAAUUCCGGGUGUAGUGGUGGAAUGCGUAGAGAUCCGGAGGAACACCAGCGGCGAAGGCGGCAUCCUGGACUGGUCCUGACACUCAUGAGCGAAAGCGUGGGGAGCGAUCCGG
rnacentral:rRNA from 1 species